UCGAGGGGUACGGUAGCAAUACCGGAGACCGGCGCACGGGUGCGUAACGCGUAUGCAAUCUACCUUUUACAGAGGGAUAGCCCAGAGAAAUUUGGAUUAAUACCUCAUAGUAUCUUCGGCCGGCAUCGGUUGAUUAUUAAAGUUCCAACGGUAAAAGAUGAGCAUGCGUCCCAUUAGCUAGAUGGUAAGGUAACGGCUUACCAUGGCUACGAUGGGUAGGGGUCCUGAGAGGGAGAUCCCCCACACUGGUACUGAGACACGGACCAGACUCCUACGGGAGGCAGCAGUGAGGAAUAUUGGACAAUGGGCGCAAGCCUGAUCCAGCCAUGCCGCGUGCAGGAAGACGCAUCUAUGGUGUGUAAACUGCUUUUGUACGGGAAGAAACACCCCCUCGUGAGGGGGCUUGACGGUACCGUAAGAAUAAGGAUCGGCUAACUCCGUGCCAGCAGCCGCGGUAAUACGGAGGAUCCAAGCGUUAUCCGGAAUCAUUGGGUUUAAAGGGUCCGUAGGCGGUCAGGUAAGUCAGUGGUGAAAGCCCAUCGCUCAACGAUGGAACGGCCAUUGAUACUGUCUGACUUGAAUUAUUGUGAAGUAACUAGAAUAUGUAGUGUAGCGGUGAAAUGCUUAGAUAUUACAUGGAAUACCAAUUGCGAAGGCAGGUUACUAACAAUAUAUUGACGCUGAUGGACGAAGCGUGGGGAGCGAACAGG
rnacentral:rRNA from 1 species